AUGCAGAGACUGAGCCUGGGGUCCUGGCCUUGCCUUCAACGGGCAACGGGGCCCCGAGUCGAAAACCAAAACAACGACUCUCAGCAACGGAUAUCUUGGCUCUUGCAACGAUGAAGAACGCAGCGAAAUGCGAUACCUAGUGUGAAUUGCAGAAUUCCGCGAAUCAUCGAGUCUUUGAACGCAAGUUGCGCCCGAGGCUUGUCCCGAGGGCAUGCCUGCCUGAGCGUCACCGC
rnacentral:rRNA from 1 species